rnacentral:tRNA from 1 species
UUCAUUAAAGUAUAAAAUAUAUUAAGUUUAGAACUUAAAGAUUUAAAUGAAA